GAUGAACGCUGGCGGCGUGCCUAAUACAUGCAAGUCGAGCGAACGGACGAGAAGCUUGCUUCUCUGAUGUUAGCGGCGGACGGGUGAGUAACACGUGGAUAACCUACCUAUAAGACUGGGAUAACUUCGGGAAACCGGAGCUAAUACCGGAUAAUAUUUUGAACCGCAUGGUUCAAAAGUGAAAGACGGUCUUGCUGUCACUUAUAGAUGGAUCCGCGCUGCAUUAGCUAGUUGGUAAGGUAACGGCUUACCAAGGCAACGAUGCAUGGCCGACCUGAGAGGGUGAUCGGACACACUGGAACUGAGACACGGUCCAGACUCCUACGGGAGGCAGCAGUAGGGAAUCUUCCGCAAUGGGCGUAAGCCUGACGGAGCAACGCCGCGUGAGUGAUGAAGGUCUUCGGAUCGUAAAACUCUGUUAUUAGGGAAGAACAUAUGUGUAAGUAACUGUGCACAUCUUGACGGUACCUAAUCAGAAAGCCAGGGCUAACUACGUG
rnacentral:rRNA from 1 species